rnacentral:snoRNA from 11 species
CCAAUGGGGAUAUCUGGGAGAGGUCGCGCUCUCUCAGCGCUGUCCGCGUGGCAUGUGGGAGCGUAGGCCUCUGGGCCGGUGAUGUACAGUCCCCUUCCACACCAUUGGAGAGCAAGACGGGCCUCCUCGGAGGUCUGCAGCCUGCAUAUUCCUACUGCUUCUCUGAGCCUUUUGGCCGUGACUGAGGAGACAAACCAUGCAGGAGACAUUG